rnacentral:rRNA from 1 species
UACGUAGGGUGCGAGCGUUAAUCGGAAUUACUGGGCGUAAAGCGUGCGCAGGCGGUCUGUUAAGACCGAUGUGAAAUCCCCGGGCUUAACCUGGGAACUGCAUUGGUGACUGGCAGGCUUUGAGUGUGGCAGAGGGAGGUAGAAUUCCAGGUGUAGCAGUGAAAUGCGUAGAUAUGUGGAGGAACACCGAUGGCGAAGGCAGCCCCCUGGGUCAAGACUGACGCUCAUGCACGAAAGCGUGGGGAGCAAACAGG